AACACCCCAAACCCACCCCAAACCCACCCCGAAACCCACCGGGACACCCCCACAGACACCCCCAAACCCACCGGAACAGCCCAAAACCCCCCAAACCCACCCCAAAACCCACCAGGACACCCCGAAACCCACAGGGACACCCCCACACACACCCCCAAAACCACCGGGACACCCCCAAACCCCCCAGACCCACCGGGACACCCUGAAACACCCCAAAACCCACCAGGACACCCCAAACCCACCCCGAAACCCACCGGGACCCCCACCCAAAACACCCCAAACGCCACCAGAAUACCCCAAAACCCACAGGGACACCCUACAGACACCCCCAAACCCACCGGGACACCCCGAAACCCCCCAAACCCACCCCAAAAACCACUGAGACACCUCCAAAACACCCCAAACCCACCCAAAACCCACUGGGACACCCCCAAACCCACCGGGACACCCCGAAACAUCCUAAAAACCCUCUCGGGACAACCCAGAACCCACCGGGACCCCAAAAGCCCCCCAAAACACCCCAAAACCCUCUCGGGAAAUCCCCCCCAGACACCCCUAAACCCACCGGGAACCCAAAACCCACCGGAACCCCCCCCCAAAACACCCCAAAACCCACCGGGACCCCUCCCGGCACCCCAAAAUCCACCAGGAUCCCCCCCGGGACCCCCACAGAGCCCCCCAAAAACUCCUGGAGACCCCAGACCCCUUCCCAGCACCUCGGGGUGACCACGGAGACCCCUCCCCCACCCCAUGAGGACCCCCCCCAGAACCCCCAAACCCCCCGGGACCCCCCCAAAAUCCCCUCGGGACCCCCCAAAAGCCCCCUGCCCCCCCAAACUCACGCUCGUGCAGCGAAUCUGUCCGGGGGGGGCACGGGGGGAGAGACACGGCGUGAGUGGGGAGGGGGCUCCAGAGAGACCCCCGGGCAAAGCGGGGGGCGGGGGGCGUGCAAGAGGGGGAGGGGUCCUCAAAAAAUGGGGGAGGGUCGUGCAAAGUGAGGGGGUCCUUAAGAAAAUGGAGUGGGAAAAGGGGAAGGGGAAUUUGGGGAGGGGUCUUCAUGCCGGGGGGGGCCAGGAACAGGGGGGUGAAUUGAGUGGGGNNNNNNNNNNNNNNNNNNNNNNNNNNNNNN
rnacentral:lncRNA from 1 species